AUCUACAGUAAUUUUACAGUACAGUUAUUUACCGAAUAAAGCUCAAGACCGGUUACUCACUAAAGCUAAGCAGGGCUGAGCCUGGUUAGUAACUGGAUGGGAGGCCGCAUGGAAAAACUGGGUUGCUGUUGGAA
rnacentral:rRNA from 1 species